rnacentral:lncRNA from 1 species
UUUCAAUCCAACUUUUCUAAGGACUUCAAGAAGGCAUAAAUACCAACCUAAAUGCUACUUUUAAAGGACUAUUCAAUUGAACAAGAAGGAGAAAAUCAAUCAAGAGAUCAAAAAGAACAUCAAGAAGAUGGAUUAAUUCAAGCUUCAAAAAAGUUCUUCAUCUUCUUUCCCUUUAUGUUGUUAAUCAUGAUUUGUAGAAUUCUUUCUUUUACCAUGAACUAAACUCUUCAUCUAGGGUUUGAUGUAAUCAAAUUUUGAAAAUAUGGUUUGAUUUAUUUUAGUUAUAUCUACGAG